rnacentral:rRNA from 1 species
UACGGAAUGUGCAAACGUUAUUCGGAAUCACUGGGCUUAAAGAGUCCGUAGGCGGCUUGUUAGGUGAGGUGUGAAAGCCCUCGGCCCAACCGAGGAAUUGCGCUUCAAACCGGCAAGCUAGAGGAGGAUAGAGGUGGGCGGAACUGAUGGUGGAGCGGUGAAAUGCGUUGAUAUCAUCAGGAACACCGGAGGCGAAGACGGUCCACUGGGUCCUUUCUGACGCUGAGGGACGAAAGCUAGGGGAGCGAACGGG